UACACCACGUGGAGAGUAUUCACUCUUUAUAAAACGUCGACAAAUAACUUCCGACGUUGACGAAUUUCUUAAUUUAUUAUUGUUUAGCACGCAGUCAGCCUUCGUUAAAAGCAUUGCUGCUGUAACAUUCCUGUCUUUUAAGGAUAUCUUGGUCUGUAUUAUAAAGCAUGAUGUUUGCGAGAAAUUUCAAUGCUAUUUCUACCUUAAAUUGUCUUACAUACUGUAAACAGUGAUUGAUGUGGGUAUUAGGAACAAGGGUUAUACCGAGGCCUGUGGGUAUACUAAAAUUCGAGUGGUUGAGCUAGGAAACGUAGGGUUUGACACUAUAAAUGACCCAGGGAAACGUCUUCUCGUUAACUCCAAUUUCCUUUACUGAUUGUAAAAGAAAUAUUUGGAGUUUUAACCGUAAAUUAGGCUCCUUGUUUUACGCUGUGAAUAGUAAUUAGAAGUUGCUUGAUCGUUAAACACACGAAGGCGAAAGGGUGUUAAGGGUUAGGGUUUUUGUUACGCCGAAAACGGGUGGUGUACGUAUUUUGUACUUCCGCCCACAUGAAGUUCUUUUUUUUUUUUCAGAAUAAAAUAUAAAACUAUUAAAAAAAAACCCAACUAAAUUCAACGUGGUUGCAACCUACAACUUCCGAAACGUAUCUUUACAAAAUUAUAUUGUAAACAGUAUUCAUUAUU